rnacentral:hammerhead_ribozyme from 1 species
AUCCAGCUGACGAGUCCCAAAUAGGAUGGGACACGUAUCCUGGAU